UAGGACACCCUUGACUAACCACUUCUGACC
rnacentral:piRNA from 1 species